UAGGACUGCAGGCACAUACCACCAGGC
rnacentral:misc_RNA from 1 species